UAUCAGGUUAUAUUCCAUUAUUACAUGGAAG
rnacentral:piRNA from 1 species